CCUACGGGAGGCAGCAGUGGGGAAUCUUGCGCAAUGGGCGAAAGCCUGACGCAGCAACGCCGCGUGCGGGAUGAAGGCCUUCGGGCUGUAAACCGCUUUCAGCAGGAACGAAAAUGACGGUACCUGCAGAAGAAGGAGCGGCCAACUACGUGCCAGCAGCCGCGGUGACACGUAGGCUCCAAGCGUUGUCCGGAUUUAUUGGGCGUAAAGAGCUCGUAGGCGGUCUAAUAAGUCGGAUGUGAAAACUCUGGGCUCAACCCGGAGACGCCAUCCGAUACUGUUAUGACUUGAGUUCAGGAGGGGAGCGGGGAAUUCCUAGUGUAGCGGUGAAAUGCGCAGAUAUUAGGAGGAACACCGGUGGCGAAGGCGCCGCUCUGGACUGAAACUGACGCUGAGGAGCGAAAGCAUGGGUAGCAAACAGGAUUAGAUACCCUGGUAGUCCAUGCCGUAAACGGUGGGCACUAGGUGUGGGUUUCAACUAACGAAAUCCGCGCCGUCGCUAACGCAUUAAGUGCCCCGCCUGGGGGAGGUACGGUCGCGAAGACUAAACUUAAAUAGAAGUUAGACGGCGUGAGACGUGCCGAACGGACGACGACGAGGGAGGUAGG
rnacentral:rRNA from 1 species